ensembl:lncRNA
AGGGCAGGCAGGCUCGUGGUGGGGGACAGGCAGUGUUUGUUGUCGGGCGGUCAGAUGGUUGAAGGUACAGGAGAGGGCAGGCAGGCUCGUGGUGGGGGACAGGCAGUGUUUGUUGUCGGGCGGUCAGAUGGUUGAAGGUACAGGAGAGGGCAGGCAGGCUCGUGGUGGGGGACAGGCAGUGUUCGUUGUCGGGCGGUCAGAUGGUUGAAGGUACAGGAGAGGGCAGGCAGGCUCGUAAUCCGAAAAACAGGCAAGGGUCAUAAUCCGGGGAAUGGAAGGACAGGUAGAAUGGAUGAUGCACACACAGAACGCUGGAAACGACUGAACAAGACAAGACGAUCUGGCUGAACAGAGAACAGAGUUUAAAUACACAGGGCUAAUAGGGAACCGGGAACACCUGGUGAGGGGCGGGGACAAGACAACAGGUGAAACGCAUCAGGGCGUGACAUAUUCACGCAAAAUAUAUCGGACAAUACAUAUGAAAACAGCUAAUUCAAGUCUAUCAUGUCUAGAACUUGACCGUAGACAACAUUUUCUAUGGUCCACUUUUCAGUGGGAAUUACCUUUUUGUUGCGUUGUUCCCUAGUUCAGAGAACCGGGGGUUAAACACACGAGCUCGAGAGGUGUUAACUCAACCCUACGGAAACAUCUUGACAUAGUCUCCUAGGACAACACGGAAUACACGUUACCUAUUCAGCCAUCCCUGCUCCAGCCGAAUGCCUACUGUGCGCUAGGUUGGAAGCUGUGACGUCAAGGCAAUUAGACCUCACAAAUGUUUUAGUGGGUGCCUACAGUAGCUCUCCACAGUGGGGAUGUCAGCCACGGUCAGCCUUUCAGACAUUACCCAGGACACUGCUACAUCUCUGGAGGAAGGGUGCACUCUGCCAGGCACACGGCAUGAAGACAGCCUCUGUAACUAAGUGAGCGUCCCUGUUUAGAUAGCAUCAUAGCUUGAGAUGAUUUGGCAAAGGAGACAAAGCUGGUGGCACAAACGAGACCUUUGGGUUCGGGCCGUGAAUGUGCGCAGGGACCACAAAGGCCCCGAGAUAU